GGCUGGUUAGCUCAGUUGGUUAGAGCAUGUGCUGAUGACACUGAGGUCCCAGGUUCAAUCCCUGCACUGGUCA